rnacentral:snRNA from 1 species
GUGCUCGCUUCGGCAGCACAUAUACUAAAACUGGAACGAUACAGAGAAGAUUAGCAAAACUGGGAUAAUAUCACCCAUUUAAAAAGUUGCAUAAGGAUUAGAGAGAAAACAGGCUGAGAACCAGCACACUUGCCAGGCUCAGCCAAUGGGAGCCAGGGUGGGGGUAGGAGGAGACAGUCACUGCCACCACCGGACCCCCGCUUACAACGAGCAUGCCCCGUUCUAGGCAGUGACCUGCUCACAGAGAAGCAAAUGCCAUGUUU